CCAUAGCUCAGUAGUACAGUGUCUGCUUUGCAUGCAGAAGGCUCCAGGCUGAAUCCCUGGCAUCUUAAGGU